CAAGAAUGGCAUGAGUCACUGGAGAU
rnacentral:piRNA from 1 species